UGCUGUGUUUAAGAAUUGGAGUUCAGGUAAAUUCCCAGUUGUGGCCCAGAUGAGGAGAACAGAAAUGGAGUAACUGCAGUUGAAGAUUAGCCUUGGAUACAUUUUUCUGAUCUUUGAAGUACACUUUUUAAGUAGAUCUGUGAUAACUCAGGGAUAAGAAAAAGAGAGGGAGACAGAAAAGCAAAAGUGCCUGCAAUACCAGAGCACCUGCUUUAUUAAAUCUUCCCCAGGGAGGUUCAUUAUUAAGCUCUGGAAUAUAAGAUCUUACUAUAAAUGGCAGAUAGGAACCUGUACUCUCUUCACUUGUAAUAUGCAUAUUUUACUGAUUUCUUAUUAAAAUCAAAUUUACCAAUCAGCUUAUGCACAAAAAUAUACUUCUUUGUAGAAUUUUAUGGGUGGAUACAGCAUAUUAAAUUGUACGGGAAAUGUUCACAUAUUCAUUAAUAAAGA